UGGCUCAGGACGAACGCUGGCGGCGUGCCUAACACAUGCAAGCCUAAGGAAAGUAGCAAUAUGAGUACUUGGCGCAAGGGUGCGUAAUGUAUAGGUUAUCUACCCUUCGGUUCGGGAUAACUUCGCGAAAGCGAAGAUAAUACCGGAUAUUGAGGAAGCUUGAAAGAUUUAUCGCCGAAGGAUGAGCUUAUAUCCCAUCAGGUAGUUGGCAGGGUAAAGGCCUACCAAGCCUACGACGGGUAGCUGGUCUGAGAGGAUGAUCAGCCACAUUGGAACUGAGACACGGUCCAGACUCCUACGGGAGGCAGCAGUGAGGAAUAUUGCUCAAUGGGUGAAAGCCUGAAGCAGCAACGCCGCGUGAACGAUGAAGGG
rnacentral:rRNA from 1 species